rnacentral:rRNA from 1 species
UACGUAGGUGGCAAGCGUUGUCCGGAUUUACUGGGUGUAAAGGGCGUGUAGGCGGAGGUGCAAGUCAGGUGUGAAAUCUAUGGGCUUAACCCAUAAACUGCACUUGAAACUGUAUCCCUUGAGUAUCGGAGAGGCAGGCGGAAUUCCUAGUGUAGCGGUGAAAUGCAUAGAUAUUAGGAGGAACACCAGUGGCGAAGGCGGCCUGCUGGACGACAACUGACGCUGAGGCGCGAAAGCGUGGGGAGCAAAC